UACGUAGGGUGCAAGCGUUAUCCGGAAUUAUUGGGCGUAAAGAGCUCGUAGGCGGUUUGUCGCGUCUGCUGUGAAAACUGGAGGCUCAACCUCCAGCCUGCAGUGGGUACGGGCAGACUAGAGUGCGGUAGGGGAGAUUGGAAUUCCUGGUGUAGCGGUGGAAUGCGCAGAUAUCAGGAGGAACACCAACAGCGAAGGCAGAUCUCUGGGACGUUACUGACGCUGAGACGCGAAAGCGUGGGGAGCAAACAGG
rnacentral:rRNA from 1 species